CAGUCCUGUCUGUCUGACCCGCUUUAUCUGGCGGAGUUAAGCACUCAGCUUAUUGUGGACUCCUCUGCACUUGUCAGUCGCAGCUUGCAUGUGAAGGAGAGGACAUCGUGCUGGGGCUUCAACUCUUUGGGGAGAUAAGAUACCCUGUGAUACUUUGUUCUUUAUUUUCUCACCGGGAUAAAAGAGCAGCACCACUAACAUUACACAAGAGAAAAAAAAUAGCAAGGCACAGCUGCAAUCGAAGGAGGAUACUGACCAGUGAAAGGAGUGAGCGUCAUAACCAAGAAAAUGCCACCAUCAUCAGACCUAAAGUUUGCAUCAAGUCACAGUGAAGCCAAACUGCUGGCAGACAGGAUGAGGAACAACAGUCAGUCUGCAGAUGGAAACAAGGGUGGGUGGUUGGAAGGAUGGAUGAAGGCUGGUGGAUGACUGAACUCAGAGACCCGGUGCAGCUCAUCAUCAUUGCCAUGGGCUCUUGUCUUCCUCCUCUCCUCCUGUGGCCCAUACCUCCAUCCGGGGGUCCUGCAGAGCCAGUGAAGCCCAAGCUGGGAACUAGUGAGUGGGCUGGGAAGGAUGAAGAAGGUCCCUGAUGGCUUGAAGCACCUCUGGAGCUACCGGCAUGCAGGAGAAAUCAAUAUGAAAAACAGAGUCUUAGCAGCUCUGAGUGGGGUUUCCCAUGUUAGUCUGUGGCCUAGGGGCCUACAGACCUCCAAAGGACAAGCCCUGCCUGGCCCUCUCAGCUGCAGCCAAGCUCCUCAGACUGGACCUCAGUCCUUACCUCCACUGGCUGUGUGUGGUUCUGCUGAAGGGGAUCUCUCCCCAAACAAUACCCAAUGCCCAGAAUGUUGAAAGACCGCCAAGAGGAAUAUCCCUUUCUCUUGAUUUUUUUUCCUUCAUAAGAUUGACAUACCCCCCACCUUCUGCCUCUGGCUGUUUAAAAAACAGUUUGGGAGUUCUGCUUUUGACUCAUUCUCCAUCCUAAAACUUGGCUGUUGUUUAUUCCCCAACCAGUUUUUACAUUUGACAAAGAGACAGUAUGAUCUUUAUUUUCCUCUACCGCAGUGGUUUGCUCUUAUCAUGGUGAGCCCAGCAUGAUACAUCGGCACAUGUUGUAUGAACAUCUCUUUCUCCAUGAUGUAUUCAGUUUCAAACUGUUUAAACCAGGAACAGAGAGGGCAAAAGCAGAUCCCCUGAAAUAAUCUUGGAACAGAGCUCUGCCCCCACUUCUAACGGGGAAGCUAACA